rnacentral:rRNA from 1 species
GACGAACGCUGGCGGCGUGCUUAACACAUGCAAGUCGAACGGAAAGGCCCUGCUUUUGUGGGGUGCUCGAGUGGCGAACGGGUGAGUAACACGUGAGUAACCUGCCCUUGACUUUGGGAUAACUUCAGGAAACUGGGGCUAAUACCGGAUAGGAGCUCCUGCUGCAUGGUGGGGGUUGGAAAGUUUCGGCGGUUGGGGAUGGACUCGCGGCUUAUCAGCUUGUUGGUGGGGUAGUGGCUUACCAAGGCUUUGACGGGUAGCCGGCCUGAGAGGGUGACCGGCCACAUUGGGACUGAGAUACGGCCCAGACUCCUACGGGAGGCAGCAGUGGGGAAUAUUGCACAAUGGGCGGAAGCCUGAUGCAACAACGCCGCGUGCGGGAUGACGGCCUUCGGGUUGUAAACCGCUUUCGCCCGUGACGAAGCGUGAGUGACGGUAAUGGGUAAAGAAGCACCGGCUAACUACGU